rnacentral:rRNA from 1 species
GAGCGAACGCUGCGGCAGGCUUAACACAUGCAAGUCGANCGGGCGUAGCAAUACGUCAGCGGCAGACGGGUGAGUAACGCGUGGGAACGUACCUUUUGGUUCGGAACAACACAGGGAAACUUGUGCUAAUACCGGAUAAGCCCUUACGGGGAAAGAUUUAUCGCCGAAAGAUCGGCCCGCGUCUGAUUAGCUAGUUGGUGAGGUAACGGCUCACCAAGGCGACGAUCAGUAGCUGGUCUGAGAGGAUGAUCAGCCACAUUNGGACUGAGACACGGCCCAAACUCCUACGGGAGGCAGCAGUGGGGAAUAUUGGACAAUGGGCGCAAGCCUGAUCCAGCCAUGCCGNNUGAGUGAUGAAGGCCCUAGGGUUGUAAAGCUCUUUUGUGCGGGAAGAUAAUGACGUACCGCNAGAUAAG